GAUGAAGAACGCAGCGAAAUGCGAUAAGUAACGUGAAUUGCAGAAUUCAGUGAAUCAUCGAAUCUUUGAACGCAUCUUGCGCUCCUUGGUAUUCCGAGGAGCAUGCCUGUUUGAGUGUCAUUAAAGUUCUCAACCACAUUACUACAUAUGUGGCUUGGAUGUGGGGGUUUGCAGGCUUUCUCUGAGGGUCUGCUCCUCUGAAAUGCAUUAGUGGUAUUCCUGAGCUUUACUACAGAUGUGAUAAUUUAUCUACAUCCCAAAAGUAUGCUUCAGCAACACCGCUCCUAACAAGCGAAAGCACAUUUUGAUGAAUUUGACCUCAAAUCAGGUAGGACUACCCGCUGAACUUAAGCAUAUCAAUAAGCGGAGGA
rnacentral:misc_RNA from 1 species